rnacentral:lncRNA from 1 species
AUAUCAGUUGUCAUGGAGUUUUGUAGCCAAUUAAUUACUAUGUCAUUACAUCAAAGCCAAUGCUCCAUGAGAGGGCUAUCUGUAGCAAUAGGUUUGCUAAUGCUUCCUUUGAUAAAACAAAGUUUAUUUUUGAUUUGGAGUGCUUGCUUCAUUGAUCUUGCCCAUGAGUGGUAAUUGUUUGAAUGCAAUACGAGAGAAACGAGUUAGGAUCCAGAGUUAUCAUUUGCACCUAUGUAGAAGGGGUUAUUUGGGUGUGAAGGAUCAAAAUUUGUAUCUCUGGUUUGAGCAAUGUUGAUACUGCUUUGGGUAAUAUUUGCUUCAGCGGAAUUGUUUGAAUAAGCCAUUAUUGGCUUUGAUACCAUAUCAAAAAAUGAAAUAUGAAGAAAAUAUUUGGAGCGGAAUGUUAAUUCAUAUUCUUUCACCUUGCUAUUUAUAAAGAAGAAAAUGAAUCUAACUAAUUCUGUAAAAGUUGCAAUAUGAAAACUGCACAAAAUAAUAGAAUAAGGAAACAAACUCCAGCUAUACACCGACAUAUUCCUCAGCAGUGUUUCUAGAGUAUUCUUCUUCUAGACUCCAAAAAAAAAUCCAGUUAUGCAUCCUGCUAGACUAAUGACUCAUGUGUGCUGCCAUUGUGUUUGAGUUGCUCUUGAUUCUUCUUUAUUUCCUUGCUGAACUUCAUAAUUUAACAAAUUAGACAGAUGUGAACAAACUAAAUUGAAAAUCCCAUUGAAGCCCAGUUAUUAGUUUCGGUAAAUUAAUGUAAUGUCGAUAAUAUUUGAAGAUUUUGAUUUGAUUGUGGAAGUGUGUAUACUAUGCAGGGGAUGGACGUGGGAUGAGAAAAUGAG